rnacentral:rRNA from 1 species
GGUUAAGCGACUAAGCGUACACGGUGGAUGCCCUGGCAGUCAGAGGCGAUGAAGGACGUGCUAAUCUGCGAUAAGCGUCGGUAAGGUGAUAUGAACCGUUAUAACCGGCGAUUUCCGAAUGGGGAAACCCAGUGUGAUUCGUCACACUAUCAUUAACUGAAUCCAUAGGUUAAUGAGGCGAACCGGGGGAACUGAAACAUCUAAGUACCCCGAGGAAAAGAAAUCAACCGAGAUUCCCCCAGUAGCGGCGAGCGAACGGGGAGCAGCCCAGAGCCUGAAUCAGUGUGUGUGUUAGUGGAAGCGUCUGGAAAGGCGCGCGAUACAGGGUGACAGCCCCGUACACAAAAAUGCACAUA